rnacentral:rRNA from 1 species
GCUCGUAGUUGGAUUUCUGGCAGGAGUGACUGACCACAAACUCUGUUUGUGAGUUGUGUCAUUCUGGCCAUCCUUGGUAAGAUCCUUUUUGGCAUUAAGUUGUCGGGAAGGGGAUGACCAUCGUUUACUGUGAAAAAAUUACAGUGUUUAAAGCAGGCUUAUGCCGUUGAAUAUAUCAUCAUGGAAGAAUAAGAUAGGACUUUGAGUCUAUUUUGUUGGUUUGCGAGUCAAAGUAAUGAUUAAUAGGGACAGUUGGGGGUAUUCGUAUUUCAGUGUCAGAGGUGAAAUUCUUGGAUUUCUGAAAGACCAACUACUGCGAAAGCAUUUACCAAGGAUGUUUUCAUUAAUCAAGAACGAAAGUUAGGGGAUCGAAAAGGAGGUGAUACCAUCGUAGUCUUAACCCUAAACUAUGCCGACUCAGGAUUGGCGGUUGUUUUUUGACUCCGUCAGCACUGUAUGAGAAAUCAAAGUCUUUGGGUUCCGG